rnacentral:hammerhead_ribozyme from 1 species
AUUCAGCUAACGAGUCCCAAGUAGGACUAAACGCGCAUCCUGGAU